GUGGGGAAUAUUGGACAAUGGGCGCAAGCCUGAUCCAGCCAUGCCGCGUGAGUGAUGAAGGCCUUAGGGUUGUAAAGCUCUUUCACCGAUGAAGAUAAUGACGGUAGUCGGAGAAGAAGCCCCGGCUAACUUCGUGCCAGCAGCCGCGGUAAUACGAAGGGGGCUAGCGUUGUUCGGAUUUACUGGGCGUAAAGCGCACGUAGGCGGAUCGUUAAGUCGAGGGUGAAAUCCUGGAGCUCAACUCCAGAACUGCCUUCGAUACUGGCGAUCUUGAGUCCGGAAGAGGUGAGUGGAACUCCUAGUGUAGAGGUGGAAUUCGUAGAUAUUAGGAAGAACACCAGUGGCGAAGGCGGCUCACUGGUCCGGUACUGACGCUGAGGUGCGAAAGCGUGGGGAGCAAACAGGAUUAGAAACCCGGGUAGUCC
rnacentral:rRNA from 1 species